rnacentral:rRNA from 1 species
GUGAGUAACACGUGGGCAACCUGCCUGUAAGACUGGGAUAACUUCGGGAAACCGGAGCUAAUACCGGAUAAUCCUUUCCCUCACAUGAGGGAAAGCUGAAAGACGGUUUCGGCUGUCACUUACAGAUGGGCCCGCGGCGCAUUAGCUAGUUGGUGAGGUAACGGCUCACCAAGGCAACGAUGCGUAGCCGACCUGAGAGGGUGAUCGGCCACACUGGGACUGAGACACGGCCCAGACUCUACGGGAGGCAGCAGUAGGGAAUCUUCCGCAAUGGACGAAAGUCUGACGGAGCAACGCCGCGUGAACGAUGAAGGCUUUCGGGUCGUAAAGUUCUGUUGUCAGGGAAGAACAAGUAUCGGAGUAACUGCCGGUACCUUGACGGUACCUGACCAGAAAGCCACGGCUAACUACGUGCCAGCAGCCGCGGUAAUACGUAGGUGGCAGCGUUGUCCGGAAUUAUUGGGCGUAAAGCGCGCGCAGGCGGUUCCUUAAGUCUGAUGUGAAAGCCCCCGGCUCAACCGGGGAGGGUCAUUGGAAACUGGGGAACUUGAGUGCAGAAGAGGAGAGCGGAAUUCCACGUGUAGCGGUGAAAUGCGUAGAGAUGUGGAGGAACACCAGUGGCGAAGGCGGCUCUCUGGUCUGUAACUGACGCUGAGGCGCGAAAGCGUGGGGAGCGAACAGGAUUAGAUACCCUGGUAGUCCACGCCGUAAACGAUGAGUGCUAAGUGUUAGAGGGUUUCCGCCCUUUAGUGCUGCAGCAAACGCAUUAAGCACUCCGCCUGGGGA